CUAGCGUCUCAAUGUUACACCAAAGCAGCCUAUAAAGCAAAGGGAAAGCGCUUCCAUUUAGCGUUUCUGUCGCUGAGACUCUGGGGUUUGUCUUCGUCAUCAACACCGCCGCAACCAUGGCUAUGAGAGCGAGGGCUGCUUUGGCUGCUGCUCCCCGCAGCUUGCUUCGGCUAUUCUCAACAACCUCCACUUCAUCCUUCGUUCCUCCGCCCACCCCAGCGGACGCUUCUGCUCGAGAACAGGCUGAGCCCAACACUAAUCUCUUUGUCUCUGGACUUAGCAAGCGUACUACUACAGAGGGACUAAGGGAAGCAUUUUCCAAGUUUGGUGAA
rnacentral:misc_RNA from 1 species